rnacentral:rRNA from 1 species
AUUCUGCUCAAUGAUUUUUUAAAUUGCUGUGGUAUUUUGACUAUACAAAGGUAUUGUAAUAAGAUUUUAAUUGAAUGCUAAAAGAAUGAGUCAACAAAAAAACUCUUUUUUGAAAUUAAAAAUUAAAGUUAUUUUUGUUUGUGAAGAAACAACAAUAGAAUUUAAGGACAAGAAGACCCUAAGAAUUUUUCAAUUAUAUAAGAAAUUAUAGUUUUUAUAUGUAAUUUUAAUUGGGGCGAUUUAAAAAUAUUUGUAACUUUUUUUAAAAAAAAAAUGAACCAAUAUUAUUGGUUUUAUGAAAAAAAAAUACUCUAGGGAUAACAGCGUAAUAAUUUUUGAUAGUUCGUAUAGACAAAAUAGUUUGCGACCUCGAUGUUGGAUUAGGAUUCUUAAUUAAUGAAGAAGUUAAUUGAAGAAGUUGGUCCAAUUAUUAAACUCCUACUUGAUCUGAGUUCAGACCGGCCCCAGCAAUUUAAAAAAUCAUUGNNCA